CCCUGUGCUUGGGUCAUUACCAUCCUCAGCUGACCCAGAGACAUUCAGGGCCUCCAGGCCUUCACAGAUGUGCUGGAGACUGACCACCACAGAGUUCAUCUUCUCCUGGAACUCGCGGAUGACGUUCUUCACAUUGUAGCGGUCGGUGGACUGGUUGACCAUGUUGGUGAUG